GACGGAGGAUGCAAGCGUUAUCCGGAAUGAUUGGGCGUAAAGCGUCUGCAGGUGGCCGUUCAAGUCUGCUGUCAAAGACCGGGGCUUAACUUCGGAAAGGCAGUGGAAACUGAACAGCUAGAGUAUGGUAGGGGCAGAGGGAAUUCCUGGUGUAGCGGUGAAAUGCGUAGAGAUCAGGAAGAACAUCGGUGGCGAAGGCGACUACCUGGCCUGUUCUUGACGCUGAGGCGCGAAAGCUAGGGGAGCAAACGGG
rnacentral:rRNA from 1 species